CGGGGGGGGGGGGGUACCAGGACUUGCGCUUCCAUCAGUCAAUACACUAGUAUACCAUUUGCACAGAUUUACUGCAUCUUGUCAAUCAUAUGUUUUUCGUAUUUUCUUUUAAAUAGCGGCACCGAAAUAAGUUGUCUUAACUUGAGUGGGCCGCUACUUGGCUGUUAUUUUGCCUUCAUGUGUUUGUUCAAUAAAAAAAAAUACGGCUCACUACACCAUUCUACUAACAUAUAAAUGUCACCCCUCCCCCGACUGUAACCUCUGCUUUGUCAUGAUUAGUGCGACAUGCUUUACCCUAGUUAAAUAAAGAAUAAACAAACAAACAAACAACAAUUUUGAUCUGGAUUUACACUGUAUCUUAUUUCAAGUUAGGGUUCUGUCACAUCUUGGCUCCAUAUGGAAACCUCCGAAAUUCAUGACGCAGGGGCAUUUGCCUGCUGACCAGCACUCUAUAGACGUCUGAGGAAGACAGUGCCUUGUGCCCUCUUGAGACGGUCGACAGAGGCGGCUCGCUCAGAGAAUGACAUGAUCAAUGGGCAUGUGGUUUUGAUAGUCUGUCCCCGUCGGUUACAUAAACAGGAGUGAUGGUAGGACAGGUCAGAACAGAUAGAUGAGAGAAGAGAGGGGAGCUAAUAAAUCGACUCUGUGCGAAUAAGUAAUAGUUAACCGAUGGUAGUGGCCAAAUUUCUGUGUAAGCACCAGGCCCGCCCUGGGGGUUUCUACUCUCCCCGAGGGCAAACCCGCCAUGGGGCACAAGUGGGUUUGAACUUGGAAAACUAACGAACGAACUUGGAGAAGGACGAUGAUUUUCCAGGAUCUAGGAACGGACGUUUGUACAUGAGGAAUUAGUAAAUGGCCAAGAACGCAACUGGAUAUAAACCUACAGAACCUGGAGGUAAAUGUUUUUGUUUCUACAUUUGUAUUUGUAUAUUUCACUUCCUUGUUUCGUUAGAUAUAUUACAAAUCUUUAAAAAAUCGAAUCAAUGGGAGAGUUUCUUUUUAGAUUCUGCUUUUUUUCAUGUAACGUUAAUAUUAUCAAGAAAUAUCUAUUGAUGAUAGUGAUCAACUUACAACGUAAAUGUACAUACAACAGGGCACUUUACAAGGCUUUAGUUCUGCAUUUAGAGUCUGUCAUACCUGUUGCUGGCACAUAAUUGAUCAUAUCCUGAUAAUUCCUUAUACAUUCUCCAGUUUUCCUUUUUUGUUUUGAGGUCACAGUAAGCAUGCCUGUUUUGAAAGGUCGGCUGUUUGUUGUUGAAUAGGUUCAUCAGUCACAGUUGUUUGUUGAUAUUAGCUGGUGAGGCUUCUACCCCGUGUUGACUCGGGGCAAAGAAUACAAUGUAGCAGAGUAUCACAUAAACAUAUUCUAGCUAUAUUUAUGUAAUCAGAACGAACUUCCCUGAUAAAAAUAUGGGCUCAGUUUCAAGAGGUAGAAAUAUUGUUGAGACGCCUUUUGCCUAGCCUGACGACACCGAUCUCAAUAUUAUAUCAGGGUAACGGAUGGGGUGUUUCUGUUGUGGAAUUUCCUUAGGGACAAUGCGUUGUUGGCUCUAGAGCCGAGGAGUUGAUCUGUGUGGGUCAUGGAAAAAGCCUAGCAACCAGACCAGCAGUGACGAGGCGUGUAAUUAUUUUUGCACGAAAACCCAUCGAAGUCACCCAACUUCGACAGUAUUAAUGAAUGAAUGAAUGAAAGACCUUUAUUGUACAUUCAUGCCUCGACGGGCUAGGUACAGGUAUUAAUGUGUCUCAGGUACAGUGUACGUCUCUUGAUGUGAUAUCUAGUACAGCUGUUCCCAAAGAUGUGUCCCAAAAUGCAAAGAUGUCGGACAUAGAGCACAUGUGACAAAAAUACUUCGCUACUUUCCCACACUGAGUGGCACUAAUGAUUUUCGCUAAUAGUGAAAGAACUUGAGAUCACCGUUGUGAACCCGAAAGUAAAACUCAGGGGCACCCUCGCAGAGUCACGGAGUCACCAAAAAUUGCCGCUUAUAUACACCUAUAAAACUAAGAUUACGCUGGCUCUUGGUACAAUAAUUUGCCUAAGAGGAGUUGGGCCUGUUCCCUUCUAAGAAAUGGUACCUUCAUCACAGCUCUCUAUUCACCAGCUACUGACCAUACCAUAACCCACAAGAAAGGCCGCUCGGGUUGGGUUGACACCUUGCCGGGAAGAUUUUUACGUUUCAACAUAAACACCUGCAAUGUGUGACUUAUGUGGGUGCAAGCUUCAAGUUCGUGAGACAUAGCCCGAAUGCAAAAUGUUUGUUUGCUUCGAUGAUAUUGGCUGUAUGAUGUAUCAUAGGUGGGGUGGGGCCCGUGGGAUUUCCAAGGAAGGUGUGUAUCACUGAUGACAUAUCUAGGUCAAACCGAGUUGGUUACAUGAGGUCAAACAACAAACAGAUCCUCCAGGAUGCUGAAUCAGCCCAACAGUUGGGCGACAUCUGGGCGACAUCUGGGCGACAUGUGACCACUCAGUUCAUCAAUCCUCUAGUAUUGAAAAUAGCAAAGGCGAUUCUCAUAAGUGAUUGGUCAGCGAUAGGUCAGCUGCGGGCUUGUGGCCAAUCAGACGGUGAACCUGAAAGCAGUCAUUUCGUGUUCAGCUAUCUGUUUUUCAGUACAGAUCAAGUCGUCAGCGGGUCGAGUCGGUGACACCGGAGCGGGCUGGCAGAGCGCUUCUGGAGCAGCCCAGGCCAAGGCACACAGAGGCGCGGCAAGAUGAACUCACUGCCCUGGGAACCGGCUAGCUCGUUGGCAAGAAAUUUUUUUCGGGGUAUCAGGCAGUUAUUCCCGCCUACAUAGAUGACCACUCGGGGGGCAUGGUGAUUUAGCGGGGAGUUCUUGUCUUGUUGGUCUCGACAACUUCCCGGAGUGCUAUUUCUCGGUCGACGGGUUACGGGAAUGACUGCCCGGCACCCCAAGAUAAUUGCUGGUCCACCGUCCGACCAACCGACGAGCUGACAUGUCUCAAGGUACCCCGCAGGUCUACAGAAGGAUUCACUGGCCAGCAAGAAUCCCAGUUGCGGAUGAAUUGGAGUACCGAUAUAUCCCAACAAAUAUCAAAUGUGACAUCAUCAUGAAAGCAAAAAAAAA